CCUGAUCUUGAGGAUAGCUUCACCAACUGUUUUAGCAUUUGCAUAGUAAAAUUCCUGUCAGCAUGAAAAAUCAUCAUCAGGUCAUAACUAAUUGCACGGGUUAUGUACAUUGGAUCAAGAAUGUUAGUUGAAACAAUUGCUUACACUAGCCCAUCUUUCAUCAAGGAACUCAUUUAGGGCAACAGCAUUCUGUGCAUAGGUGAAUGGGGAUGUCCAGUAUCCCCACUGCAACCAUGGUUGGAGGUUAUCUGUUUCAAUGUACAAAACUGCCUCCAAAUAUGUAGAUUGCUAUGAGAGCUGCGGUGCCUAGCAUGUUGGCCAUUACUUGCGUCCUUCCUAUUGCCGCUAAGAAACGAUAGAGGCCCAUUGACAUUUGAUGCAUGGCAAAAAGUACCAAAAACUGCUGGAUGAAUCUGCAAGAAGCAAGAGAUCGUCUUUCGCAGGUCGUGGGAGAUAGGAUGAACGAAAAGAUUCUGCAAAUUUUUCGAUUGACCGGUAAUCGUGGAUUACUUUCGCUGUGUUAGGGGCGUUCUCAGGCUCUACUGUGUAGGAAAUGCUGGCGCGUGCUGUCCAUCUCAUGAGAAAUCAACUAGCAAGGAACAGGACUGCAUUAAAGCCGUUGCCGUCAUCCUCGUAGCUGCUGUCGUCUUCUACACCGAAUGCUACCUCAGGAAUGGCCACGCUACGUUCAUGAAAAUUGUAAAGACCCGGUACCAAAAUGGAAAAUUCCCCAAGCUAGAUAGUGCUGUGAUGGUUGUGCUGUGCAGAAGACCCUGCCUACAGUCCAGCAAUAUACUACUCCCUCCGUCUCAUAAAUUUGAGCCUACACUCUACUAAAGUGCACUCUACUAAAUUUAAGCCUUCACAAGAAAAUUUCCUUCACUAAUUAGCAAUGGCUGGGGGGCAGCGGCACCCCCAGUAAUACAUGUAGCUCCGCCCCUGUAUGACGGAGGGAGUAGCUCUGUUUGGUAGGCUUAGUUGGGGCCAACCUAUUUGUACCAACAUUUCUUUUAGCAACUAUAGCAUUUUUUUUUUUUUUUGCGGAUGAGCAACUAUAGUAUUUGUGUAAACAUAUGACCAUGUUUUUUUUCUUGAUGGACAUAACGCCAUGUUUAGUGUA